GAAGCACCUCCUGGAAUGUGGGAGCUUUGGCAUUUGUUGCCCUGAAGUGUUUGAGAUCCAGGCUGUUCCAGGCUGUUUCCAAAGGCAUCACCUCACCCCAGAGGUUUUUUUCUCUUGGUCCUGUCUGAGUCAAUCUGUGGAGUAAAUGGCACAGAACAGGACAGAGGGAACGUGCUGAAGGGAGACCUGGAGGGAACUGUGCUGGCUCCUGGUGGGAAGGAGGAGGUGGCCAAGGUGUGGCAGACACUUAUUAACUGGGAGGGGAUGUGAUUGAUGGUUGCAUUAGGAGCUGACCUGCCAGGCAAUCACCCCGGGCAUUGAUUUGUCACUGCACCAGCAGCUGCCACACCAGCCCCUCCCUCUCCCACCAGGAUGAAAAACAACCCCAAAACUUUUUAAAGACUCACCACUGGCAGGAAAGACCAGAAGAGCAGUUUCUGACCCCUGGGGACCCUCAGUUGUGCCUCUCACAAAGCCAAGGUGUGAAAAACCAUGAAAUGGGAGGAAAUUAAAAGCAUUCCUGAUAUUAUCAACACAUGGAGUAUAUUUAGCAUACAAACCCCUUCGGAGGCCACGGUGACAACAUCCAAGUGUCCAGUCAUCAGAGCACAGGGGAGCUGCUGGCUCUGCCUGAGGAGCAUCACCAACCUGCAGAUGAAGUCAGGCAGGUGCAGCCUCAGAGGAGCCCUCACACCCUGCCAGCCCUCAGAAAUGAUGCUGAAUCAAUUUUAAAUUCAAGUGAUACCAGGUUGACACAAAG